rnacentral:rRNA from 1 species
UAUUUAAGUUGUUGCAGUUAAAAAGCUCGUAGUUGGAUUUCGGUUGAGAACGGCCGGUCCGCCGUUUGGUGUGCACUGGCUGGUUUCAACUUCCUGUAGAGGACGCGCUCUGGCUUCACGGCUGGACGCGGAGUCUACGUGGUUACUUUGAAAAAAUUAGAGUGUUCAAAGCGGGCUUACGCUUGAAUAUUUCAGCAUGGAAUAACACUAUAGGACUCCUGUCCUAUUUCGUUGGUCUCGGGACGGGAGUAAUGAUUAAGAGGAACAGUUGGGGGCAUUCGUAUUUCAUUGUCAGAGGUGAAAUUCUUGGAUUUAUGAAAGACGAACUUCUGCGAAAGCAUUUGCCAAGGAUGUUUUCAUUAAUCAAGAACGAAAGUUGGGGGCUCGAAGAUGAUUAGAUACCAUCCUAGUCUCAACCAUAAACGAUGCCGACUAGGGAUUGCAGGAUGUUAAUUGAUGACUCCUGCAGCACCUUAUGAGAAAUCAAAGUUUUUGGGUUCCGGGGGGAGUAUGGUCGCAAGGCUGAAACUUAAAGGAAUUGAC